AUUGAACGCUGGCGGCAUGCCUUACACAUGCAAGUCGAACGGUAACGGGCCUUCGGGUGCCGACGCGUGGCGAACGGGUGAGUAAUACAUCGGAACGUGCCCGAUCGUGGGGGUUAACGAGGCGAAAGCUUUGCUAAUACCGCAUACGAUCUACGGAUGAAAGCAGGGGACCGCAAGGCCUUGCGCGGACGGAGCGGCCGAUGGCCGAUUAGGUUGUUGGUGGGAUAAAAGCUUACCAAGCCGACGAUCUGUAGCUGGUCUGAGAGGAUGAUCAGCCACAGUGGGACUGAGACACGGCCCAGACUCCUACGGGAGGCAGCAGUGGGGAAUUUUGGACAAUGGGCGCAAGCCUGAUCCAGCCAUGCCGCGUGCAGGAUGAAGGCCUUCGGGUUGUAAACUGCUUUUGUACGGAACGAAAAGCCUUCGUUUAAUACAGGAGGGUCAUGACGGUACCGGAAGAAGAAGCACCGGCUAACUACGUG
rnacentral:rRNA from 1 species